AGUACAAUUACUAGGUAAUAUGUAAGUAUAUGCUUAACUUUCUAAGAAACUGCCAAACUGCUUUCCAAAGUGGUUUUAUCAUUUACAUUCCCAUCAGUAAU
rnacentral:pre_miRNA from 1 species